UUUACAAAUAUUUUACGUCCAAAAGAGAGGUAUGGGCACUGUGAAUGUCAUCUCGCUUUGUGUGGUAGGGCACAGCACAGCGGAUGUUAUUCCGGAUCUAGAGCAGAGCCCAACUGGGGAAGUACCUCCACCUUACAGAAAACCGCAGCCAAAUAACACUAGAACCUACUCAUAGUGUUGUGUUCCUGCCGGUGAGUAAGGUUGCCAGAGCUCAACGAGGGAGAGGAUGUUAGGUUCGACAGCGCGCAUGUUAUAUCUCUGGUGAUGCAAGCGUCCAUAGGCUACGGAGACUGCUUACCAUCAGGCGGGCCGUAUGCUUGUUUGCCACCGACGUAGUAUUAAAAAAAAAGUGGCCUAGCGGUAAGAGCGUGCGACUUUCAAUCCGGAGGUCGCGGGUUCAAACCCCGGCUCGUACCAAUGAGUUUUUCGGAACUUAUGUACGAAUCAUUUCAUAUUUACCAGUUACUUUUCGGUGAAGGAUAACAUCGUGAGGAAACCGGACUAAUCCCAAUAAGGCCUAGUUUCCCCUCUGGGUUGGAAGGUCAGAUGGCAUUCGCUUUCGUAAAAACUAGUGCCUACGUCAAUUCUUAG